UUUAGAUCCAUCAAGUUUACAUGGCGGAUGUCCUGUCAUAAGAGGAAAUAAGUGGUCAUCGACAAAAUGGAUGCAUAUCCGGGAAUUUAGAGCUUAAUGUAUCGAGAAAGGAGAUAUCGAUGUACAUCACAGUGUCAACGUCUUUUGGAGAUGGAUUACCACUGAGGAGAAAACGUGCGAUGGAGAAUUGUGAGGAUGUCGUGGACGGGCUGCUAAUCUAUUCAUAGAAACUUCUUUUGUUUAUGUAGGACCAACAACUGUAUAUACAGUCCUUUGAGUUUUGCUUGUAUACUGUUCUUCUCUUAGUUAUCUAAAAGACAAGUUGACCUACAACAAAAUUGUAAGCGGAGUCGGUCACAUGGAUCUGAAUCUUUUACCAUUAUUAAGAUUAAAAAGUUAUAUGUUUAAUUAA